rnacentral:tRNA from 2 species
GUACCCUUAGCUCAGUUGGUUAGAGCAGACGGCUCAUAACUAUCUGAUUGUAGGUUUUAAUUCUACAGGGCACA